rnacentral:rRNA from 1 species
CGCCUGUUUAACAAAAACAUUUCUUUUUGUGUUUCUAGAAAGUAUCUUCUGCCCUAUGAUUAUUUUAAUGGCCGCAGUAUUCUGACUGUGCAAAGGUAGCAUAGUAAUUAGCUUCUUAAUUAGGAGCUUGAAUGAAUGGAUGUAUGAGAGGUAUAUUUUAUUAAUUUUAUUAUUAGAAUUUUAAAUUUAGGUAAAAAUGCUUAAUUGAUUUUUUGGGACGAUAAGACCCUGUAGAACUUUAUACACAUUUUAUUAUCUUAUUUUUAUAAUUAAAAUUAUGUUAAUAUAUUGUAAGUUUUGCUGGGGUGGUGGAUAAAUUCAAACUUUUUUUAGUUUAAUCAAUUAAUAAUUGUAUUUAUGAUCUUUAUUAAAAGUUAUAAGAUUAAGUUACCUCAGGGAUAACAGCGUAAUCUUAAUGGAAAGUUCACAUUUGUAUUAAGGGUUGCGACCUCGUUGUUGAAUUAAGAUAAGUAUAAGAAGCAGCCUUCUUUUUUCUAGGUCUGUUCGACCUUUAAAUUCUUACCUUGAUCUGAGUUCAGACCGG